CCUUGGGGACGCAGAAGGAGAGCACGAGCCGGAAAUGGAAAAGCCGGUACAAGCGUAUAGCAGUCAUGCAGGCAAAACCGCAUGAAAAAUGUAAAGCGUUAUGUGGAUCGAACAUUAGUAGAGAAGCGUGUGAGCCAGCUGCCAAGAAAAGCCGCUAUUGUUUCAUAAGUACCCGUACCGUAAACCGACACAGGUGGAUGAGGAGAGAAUCCUAAGGCCGGCGGGAGAAGUGUUGUUAAGGAACUCGGCAAAAUGACUCCGUAACUUCGGGAGAAGGAGUGCCACAGAGAUGUGGCCGCAGAGAAAUGGCCCAAGCAACUGUUUAGCAAAAACACAGGUCUAUGCAAAACCGAAAGGUGAGGUAUAUGGGCUGACGCCUGCCCGGUGCUGGAAGGUUAAGAGGAGAGGUUAGAGCAAUCGAAGCUUUGAAUUUAAGCCCCAGUAAACGGCGGCCGUAACUAUAACGGUCCUAAGGUAGCGAAAUUCCUUGUCGGGUAAGUUCCGACCCGCACGAAAGGCGUAAUGAUUUGGGCACUGUCUCAACAACACACCCGGUGAAAUUGAAAUACCAGUGAAGAUGCUGGUUACCUGCGCCAGGACGGAAAGACCCCAUGGAGCUUUACUCCAGUUUGAUACUGGGAUUCGGUACUGUCUGUACAGGAUAGGUGGGAGGCUAGGAAACGGUGACGCCAGUUGCCAUGGAGCCAACCUUGGGAUACCACCCUUACAGUACUGGGUUUCUAACCUGCAGCCGUAACCCGGCUGGGGGACAAUGUCUGACGGGGAGUUUGACUGGGGCGGUCGCCUCCGAAAGAGUAUCGGAGGCGCUCAAAGGCUCCCUCAGAACGGUUGGAAACCGUUCGAAGAGUGCAAAGGCAGAAGGGAGCUUGACUGCGACACCGACGGGUGGAGCAGAUACGAAAGUAGGACUUAGUGAUCCGGUGGUAUAAAGUGGGAUUGCCAUCGCUCAACGGAUAAAAGCUACCCUGGGAUAACAGGCUUAUCACUCCCAAGAGUUCACAUCGACGGAGUGGUUUGGCACCUCGAUGUCGGCUCAUCGCAUCCUGGAGCUGUAGCAGGUUCCAAGGGUUGGGCUGUUCGCCCAUUAAAGCGGUACGCGAGCUGGGUUCAGAACGUCGUGAGACAGUUCGGUCCCUAUCCGGCGUGGGCGUAGGAUAUUUGAGAGGAGCUGUCCUUAGUACGAGAGGACCGGGAUGGACAAACCUCUGGUGUAUCUGUUGUUUUACCAAAGGCAUGGCAGAGUAGCCAAGUUUGGCAGGGAUAAACGCUGAAGGCAUUUAAGCGUGAAGCCCCCCUCAAGAUAAGAUAUCCCAUCUUCGGAGUAAGACCCCUUGAAGACUACAAGGUUGAUAGGCUUCAGGUGUAAGUGCGGUAACGCACUCAGCUGAGAAGUACUAAUAGGUCGAGGACUUAUCAAA
rnacentral:rRNA from 1 species